AGAUCCAGCAAGCCAGCGACAAGUUCGUCAAAACUUUCUCAACAGUGAAGUGAAAUGGACAAAAAAUCCUUCUGACAUUCCUCAUCUAUCGUCAUAUUUUGAGUUUCGUCCCUCACCUGUAAAAUCAGGUAAUCAGGUAUUUUGAUCCUCAACUUUAAAAUCCGUUUAUUUUUAUCCCUCAGCUAUUUUAAAAGUAGUUUCACGUGACUAAGAGUGGUUUCACGUGACGUAACGUUAGGUUCCACAUGUCUGGCGGUGGGUUCCACAUUUCACGUGACUUUCUUCCUCCCCUCCCUUCCUCCUUCCCCUCUCUCUUCUGCUCGUUCCAGCAUCAGCUCGGUCGUCGGCGCCGCUUUCCUGCUGCCGUCUUUCUGCUUCUGCCCGAGCCCGCUGCCGAGGCUGUUGCUGCCGCCGUCCGCCUUGCGGGAUCUCCGGGCCGCCAGGCCGCGCCCCCACCCGCCUCCGCACCUCGGGGACGCGCCGCCGAGUGGCUGGCCCCGCCGGGCCUCCGCUCCCCCACCGGACCACCGCAGGCCGCCGCGCCGCUCCCCCGCCAGACCACCGCCAUCCGCUGCAGCUGCACUGCCGACCGAAGCCGCCGCUAGGACUCGCGCAUCCUCUGCCGCGCCGCUUCCCGCUGAACCGCAGCUGGGCCGCGCCCCUACCAGGGCGGAGCUGCCGUGCGCGUCCCACGCCAGGCCGCCGCCGCACCGCUCCCCCGUCAGACCGCCGGCCACGCUUGCCGCCGAGCUGCUCCCCCGCCUGGGUGCUGUUGACCUCCGCGCCGGGGGCCAGCCACCCGCGCCGGAGCCCACCGCGCGCUGACGAGCUGCUCCCUCGCUUAGCUGCUGCUGACCUCCGCGUCAGAGACGGCAACCUGCAACGCUCUCUCAUCACGAUGUACCUGAAAUGUGGAAAGUGGGGUGCAUUCAGCUGUCAGUUUCUUUGACGGGAUCUCUGAGCCAACCAUGAUUUCUUGGACGGCCAUGAUUGCCGGGUUGGUGCAGAAUGGCGUUGCCAUGGAAGCGGCCGUCUUCUACAGACGCAUGGUGAGGGUUGGGGAGAAGGGGAAUGACUUUUGCUUCACUAGUGUGCUCUCAGCAUUCAGCACCCUUGCGAAUCUGGAGCAUGGUGAGAUGGUGCAUUGUCGCGCUGUGACGGCUGGGUUUUGUUUCGAUGUGAUCCUUGGGAACACCCUUGUUGACAUGUACUUCAUGUGUGGCAGCUCUACAGAUGCUCAAUUUGUCUGACACAAUGCGAGCACACGGCGUGGUGUCGUGGACAGCUAUGGUUGUUGGGUAAGGGCGACAUG
rnacentral:lncRNA from 1 species